UACGUAGGGGGCGAGCGUUGUCCGGAGUUACUGGGCGUAAAGCGCUUGUAGGCGGUCCACCAAGUUUGGGGUGACAGUUGUCGACUUAAUCGGCAAAGUGCCUCAAAGACUGGCGGACUUGAGGGCCACAGAGGGACAUGGAACUCCAGGUGUAGUGGUGAAAUGCGUAGAUAUCUGGAGGAACACCAGUGGCGAAAGCGCGUGACUGGGCCACAACUGACGCUGAGGAACGAAAGCUAGGGUAGCGAAAGGG
rnacentral:rRNA from 1 species